rnacentral:rRNA from 1 species
AACGAACGCUGGCGGCAGGCUUAACACAUGCAAGUCGAACGCCCCGCAAGGGGAGUGGCGCACGGGUGAGUAACACGUGGGAAUAUGCCCUUCAGUACGGAACAACGUCGGGAAACUGACGCUAAUACCGUAUAAUGUCUAGCGACCAAAGAUUUAUCGCUGAAGGAGUAGCCCGCGUCUGAUUAGGUAGUUGGUGAGGUAACGGCUCACCAAGCCGACGAUCAGUAGCUGGUCUGAGAGGAUGAUCAGCCACACUGGGACUGAGACACGGCCCAGACUCCUACGGGAGGCAGCAGUGAGGAAUAUUGGACAAUGGAGGAAACUCUGAUCCAGCCAUGCCGCGUGAGUGAUGAAGGCCUUCGGGUUGUAAAGCUCUUUCGGGUGUGAAAAUGAUGAUGGUAACACCAGAAGAAGCCCCGGCUAACUCCGUG